rnacentral:rRNA from 1 species
CAGCCGCCGCGGUAAUACCGGCGGCCCGAGUGGCGGUCACUAUUAUUGGGCUUAAAGCGUCCGUAGCCGGGUUGGGAAGUCCUCCGGGAAAUCUGGCCGCUUAACGGUCAGAAUGCCGGAGGAUACUCCCAGCCUAGGGGGCGGGAGAGGCCGAGGGGAUUCCCGGAGUAGGGGUGAAAUCCUAUAAUCCCGGGAGGACCACCUGUGGCGAAGGCGCUCGGCUGGAACGCGUCCGACGGUGAGGGACGAAGGCCAGGGGAGCAAACCGGAUUAGAUACCCGGGUAGUCCUGGCUGUAAACGAUGCGGACUUUGUGUCGGACAAGCUAUGAGCUUGUCCGGUGCCGGAGGGAAACCGUUAAGUCCGCCGCCUGGGGAGUACGGCCGCAAGGCUGAAACUUAAAGGAAUUGGCGGG